rnacentral:rRNA from 1 species
GAUGAACGCUGGCGGCGUGCCUAAUACAUGCGAGUCGAGCGAACAGAUAAGGAGCUUGCUCCUUUGACUUUAGCGGCGGACGGGUGAGUAACACGUGGGUAACCUACCUAUAAGACUGGAAUAACUCCGGGAAACCGGGGCUAAUGCCGGAUAACAUUUAGAACCGCAUGGCUCUAAAGUGAAAGAUGGUUUUGCUAUCACUUAUAGAUGGACCCGCGCCGUAUUAGCUAGUUGGUAAGGUAACGGCUUACCAAGGCAACGAUACGUAGCCGACCUGAGAGGGUGAUCGGCCACACUGGAACUGAGACACGGUCCAGACUCCUACGGGAGGCAGCAGUAGGGAAUCUUCCGCAAUGGGCGAAAGCCUGACGGAGCAACGCCGCGUGAGUGAUGAAGGUCUUCGGAUCGUAAAACUCUGUUAGUAGGGAAGAACAAAUGUGUAAGUAACUGUGCACGUCUUGACGGUACCUAAUCAGAAAGCCACGGCUAACUACGUG